UACGUAGGGGGCGAGCGUUGUCCGGAAUUAUUGGGCGUAAAGCGCAUGCAGGUGGUUUGUUAAGUCAGAUGUGAAAGCCCGGGGCUCAACCUCGGAAUAGCAUUUGAAACUGGCAGACUAGAGUACUGUAGAGGGGGGUAGAAUUUCAGGUGUAGCGGUGAAAUGCGUAGAGAUCUGAAGGAAUACCGGUGGCGAAGGCGGCCCCCUGGACAGAUACUGACACUCAGAUGCGAAAGCGUGGGGAGCAAACAGG
rnacentral:rRNA from 1 species